GGCUGGCCUCACAGAAGGGCGGAAGGGAGGCCACCACCUGUUGCUGGGCAACUGUGACCCAACUCCUCCAGCCCCCAUGGAGUGUUGCCAAGGCAACCUGAGGGGAUGUGGUCACUGCGGCAAGAAGGCGUUUCCUGGUUUGUGCAGGAUGGAGAAUCAGAAUCCAGGUGUCCUGGCCACAGGCUCCUCCCACUCUACUAUGCAAGAAUUUCUGAAAAAAGGAAUCAGGAUGUUACUCAAGGAGUAUGUGCAAUAGAGAAGUCUCUGCAUCAGAGGCCUAGAAAAUAGGCACUUGCAGAUGAGGAAAUUUUUAUUUGCAGCUCUUAGUCCAUUGUUGGCUGACUUCAUUGCUCUGGGCUGGAAGUGAGGCAGAUCAUGAUGGAAGUUGUGAAGGAGAAAAUCAGCUCAGGAUAUGGCAACAAGGAAGCAGGGAGUCUUCAUGCUGAUAUCUAAUGGACAGGAUGCAGCAGAAGUGACACGGCAUGACUUCUGAGACUAAUUAAAAUUUUUAAAAAAAGGAUAGAGCUGCCACCUGGUACUCCCACUCCACUCACCCUUGGAACUCAGCCACCAUGUUGUGAGGAAGCCCAAGACACAUGUAGGUGCCUUGGCUAAAGUCUCAGCUAGGGUCCCAAUCAAUAGCCAACAUCCACUACCAAACAUGUAAAUGGGCAAGUCUUCAGAUGACUCUAGCCCCAGGAUUUGAGCCACCUCAGCUGAUAUCAAGCAAAGCAGAGAUGAGCUACCUGCCUGGAGCCCUGCCCAAAACACAGACUGAGGAAAAGAAAUAUUGCUAUCUUAGGGAAUUAUGUUUUGGGGUGGUUUAUGACAUAGAAAUAGAUAACUGGCGCACUUGACUUCAAGGGUUCUCACCAGGUGGGUUAAGGGCAGUAGUCCUCUAUCACAUGUGAGAUCUUCUCAAGGGUUCACACUUAAUUCCAAUGUCCCACCACCCUGUCUUGCUAGAUUCUUACACCACUUUAGGGUAUGAAUUGGGUAGGCUGGGGAGAAAUAUAACAGCAACAACAGUGGAGUUGGUUCAGAAAUUUUGUAGAAGAUUCAAAAAUGCCCUCUCCAUAAUUAAGGUCCACUAGAUCUGCUCAGUCUAAUACAGGGGCCAUCAGACACAUGUGGUUCUUUAAAUUAAAAUUUAUUAAAGUAAAAUAAAAAUUGA